rnacentral:lncRNA from 10 species
GUGGCUCCAAGAAGCGCCAGCUCGCUCAUUUGCUCACACCCAGCAGGCAGAGAAGGCAGCAGCAGGCAGGACCGCCACCCUCCCAUGCAAAUCACCCCCGGGAGUGCAGCUGGGCUCCUCCCGCUCCUCCUGGGCAAUGCUCCUGGGGAGUCUGUGGGGAAGAUGCCAUCCAGGGCGCUGUGCGCUCUUCCUCAUCCUCGCCCUCCUGCUGGACGCGGUCGGCCUGGUCCUUUUGCUGCUGGGGAUCUUGGCCCCCCUGAGUUCCUGGGACUUCUUCAUCUACACAGGUGCCCUGAUCCUGGCUCUCAGCCUACUGCUCUGGAUCAUCUGGUAUUCCCUCAACAUUGAGGUGUCUCCUGAAAAACUGGACCUGUAAUUUGGCCAUGGGAAGAGGAGAAGAGACGCAGGUGCUGUAUGCAGACAUGUCUGUGAACCUGGGGCUCUUGGGCAGCAACACGUUGCAGCUUCCACCUAGCAAGCCACGCCGGGACCAGGUCCCAUCUGAUGGAGGAGAAUCAAUUCAAGGAGAUGCCCUUCCUUUACAGAACACCCUUUAACAGCAUCCAGGAGGAACGAGAGGCUGCAAUACUGAGGCUUUCAAAGUACUCACGAGGAUGUCCGAGAAUGGCUGUGAUGCCAGGCUUCUGGCAGGUUCCAGACUCCAUCACAAGCCCAGCAUCCCUGCACCAGAUCUGACAUCGCUGCUGUUGUGCCAGCUGUUUAUGAAGGGCCUGAGUAGCUAGCAGGUUUUUAUCAGGAGCCCUGCUGGGGGCUUAGACACCAAAAGAGAAGACUCAUCCUCUGUAGUUCUUCUUGUGAAUGUCCUUUUAGAAAAACAAUUAGAACCAACCACAAGCACCAAAGUCCUAAUGGGAUCUCCUGCGAGCACAUAUCAAGCAGGAUUGUUGCUAUUUCUCCUCACUGGCUCUUUGGACAGACUGUGUGAGCUCCUGGAGGGUUCCACUGUAUCUACCCUUUGACACUGACCAGUUGGCACAUGGUGACAUAUUCCAAUGUGUUGAUUGCAAAUGUGAACGUACAGCCAGUGCUGUGUGCGGGAGGACUCUCUCCUCCUCAGUGGGGCCACACCGUGCACUAUUAAUGGAGCCCCACUCCUUUGCACAGCCUGGCCAUGCAGUGGCUCAUAUUGAGGUUUUAGCCAACUGAAAUCUCCCGUGCAUUUUUCUGACAAGCCAGCUAGGCCUCUGCUAUGCUGUCCUUGUGUCUUUCAUUUGAUGACCUUAAGGGUGGGACUGUUUUAUCUUAAGUUACAGGUGGUCAAGUCCAGCCCAAGGACAGCAACUCUGAGGGUCAAGCCUCAUAGGCUAACUGGAUAGAUGUUCUCUGCUUUGCCACCCACUGGAGCCCGACCUGCCCCACUAAUUUAUAUUUCCCCUGGUCUCAUUUUGUACUUUUUAUUUAUAAUUCACCCUUAAAGUGUAUGUGUCUCUUAUAAGCUGCCUCCGAUCUUUCAUGGUAUGAGGUGGUUACCUAAAUAAAGAAGGAGAUUUGGCCUUUGUUUUUAUGUAAAAAAAAAAAAAAAAAAAAAAA